CUCAAGCCUCCUGAGUAGCUGGGACUAUAGGCAUUCACCAACAUGCCUGGCUAAUUUUUUUGUAUUUUUAGUAGAGACCGGAUUUCACCAUGUUAGCCAGGAUGAUCUCGAGCUGCUGACCUCGUGAUCCUCCCACCUUGGCCUCCCAAAGUGCUGGGAUUACAGGUGUGAGCCGCCAUGCCUGGCCAGUAAAUGCAGUAGGUCUUUAACUUCAAAGUAAAUAACUGAUAGUCUUGUUGCUAAUUAUAAAAUUUGAGCUUUCAACCAAAAAGUAGAAUGUAGGAAAAGGUGUAUCUUCCACAAUGAGCUUGAUUGUUUCUUAGUAUUUAAAAUUUUCCUUACUGAAGAGAUGUUUAAAGGUAUUAGUGAAUGUGACAUAUUGGUAUUGUAUAAUGAUAUGUCUCAGCAUUUUAAAUUAUACAUAACUAAUGGAAUAAAUAUUUUCCAAAUGACCAAUGAAUGAUGUUACAAAAUCGUGUAUGGAUACAAAAUCUAUUCAAUGUUCAAUAUUGCUCCAGAGAUUUUAAUUUAAAAGUAUAUAAAAAAUCAUUGAUAAGGUUUCAAAUUCUAUGUGUAAGAAACUAACCAAUUCAUAAAGAUUAGUUUAACUUUUCAGUUGUUGGAGAGUAAUACGAAAGAAAAUCCACAAUUAUCUGAAGAGUAUAUUAAAAUCGUCUUUGCUAUUCUAAAUUUGUAUCUUCCUGAGGCCAAAUCUUCUUCAAUGCUUCAGUCAAAAUAGCAUAUACAGAAAAUAGAAUACAGAAGAAAAUAUAAGAAUUCAGCUGUCUUCUAUUAAGCCAGAUACAGAAGAUAUUUUUAAAAUAUAAAACAAUACCAGUCUUCUGCCUGCAGUUUUUUUUUUGUUUGUUUGGAGAAAAUAUAAGCAUUUUCAUAAAAAUAUAUGAUUUAUGUUAACAUGUAACCAGUUUAUUAUAGUUACUUUUAAACAAUUUAUUGAAUAACUCAUUCUUAAAUGUUUUGAUUUAAUUUUUAAUACAGCAGAUAUCUUCAGUGAUCCAAUGGAACGCCUGAUUCUCUUAGGUCCCCUGCUGCUUGGGAGCCUUCAGAAUUGUGUGAUCUGGUGUUACCUCUUCACUUUGCUGAUUGCUUCCUUUGCUGUUCAGAAGUUUUUAACUUGAUGUCAUCACAUUUGUCCAUUUAUGCUGUGGUUGCCUAUGCUUGUGCUGGUGAUAUGGUGGUGACAAAGGAUGAAAAGCACUACUCUCAGUAACCUGAAAGUGGACUGAUGAAGAGAUCGUGUGACAGCAACCAGUUGAAAUCAUCAGGCCUUUAAUGAAAAUCUACAUUGCAAAAUGUCUGAGGAGAUGAAAGAAAAGGAAAGGGGAAGUCAGAUUAGUCAUGAAAACUCACGCCAUUUAUCAAUACAAUUCAAAGUCCAGAAAAUACCACUACUCAUUAAAGAAACAAAUAUUUAGGGAAGAGACACCACUAGCAAAAUCGAGGUAUAAUUUUAGUAUUUAUGUAAUAUAUAGGUAUUAUAUAGAAAAGUAUUAAUUUUAAAGAAGUACUUUUUAUCAGAAUAUUAAUGUUAAUAAAAAUGAUGGUGUAUCAAUUCAGUUUUCAAAGAUAGAUGGUCACCUUUCUAUGAGAAUAAAUAGCUACUGUUUCAAGUUCUGUGAUCUAGGAAUCAAGGUUAUAAUGUUAGUUGUUUUACAAUGAAAGUUAUAGUAUCCACUGUAAAGACAGGGAUUUUUUUAUGUGAACAAGAUUAUAAAAUGGAAAUAGAUACAUAUAUAUCCAAGCUUUGGUCUCCAUUACAUAAACUGAAAUCUAUAAAAUAAAUUUAAAACUCAACUUGAAAUAUACAUAUGGUGAAUAAAAAC
rnacentral:lncRNA from 10 species